rfam:Schistosoma rodhaini strain Burundi genome assembly, scaffold: SROB_scaffold0001079
AUCCAGCUGACGAGUCCUAAAUAGGACAAAACGCGCAUACUGAAU